rnacentral:rRNA from 1 species
UACAGAGGGGGCCAGCGUUAUUCGGAAUUAUUGGGCGUAAAGAGCUCGUAGGCGGUUUGUCGCGUCUGCUGUGAAAACUCGAGGCUCAACCUCGGGCUUGCAGUGGGUACGGGCAGACUAGAGUGCGGUAGGGGUGACUGGAAUUCCUGGUGUAGCGGUGGAAUGCGCAGAUAUCAGGAGGAACACCGAUGGCGAAGGCAGGUCACUGGGCCGCAACUGACGCUGAGGAGCGAAAGCAUGGGGAGCGAACAGG